GGUUAUCUUCUUUUUCUUCCUUUUUUGGUGGUGGUGGUGGAGGGAUGAGAUUUCUAAGUCCCACUGAUUGCAGCCAUACGAACAAAGACAUUCAUACAUGCAUACAAUAUAAAUUUGUGUUUGUUUGGGGAUACAACAGUCAGAGUAAAUUCUUGUAAUUGUUGAACAGUAGAAGUGCCACCAUGUUUUGUAUUUUCUAUGUAAAUACAUGUUAGGGCAUUCUGGUCAUUUCCAUGGUGAAGUAAUCUUUUUUGCUUGGGUACUCUGGCCCCAUGAGCAACAGGAACUCUGGCCCCAUGAGCAACAGGAACUUUGUAUGUGCCUGCCCAUGUGCACACAUCAAAAUUGAAGAAAAAAAACUUCAAACAACCAAUAAAUGUUUUGUUUAUUUUUCAAGGGCUAACAGUUAUAACAUAUUGCAUGAAAACUUUCACUUCAAAGGACGACAUCUUGCAUGAAUAUUAGAGACAACACAGGAUACAUAUAAAGCAAAUGAGGUAUUGUACAUAAAUGGUAAAUCUGAUGUACUGAAGACCAAGCAACACCUUGUUUGUUGAUGAUGCCUUAAAAUACACUAGGAUCAGACCAAGAAAUAUCGAAUCGGGCCGUACCGCCCGGUUCAGGCAAAAACAAACCGCCCGGUUCUGACCAGGUCGGUUCGAGCAUAUAAAACGGUUCCGGCCUCACCAGUACAAGAGCGAACCAAAUCAAACUAGACCAGUUCCAUUCGGUUCGGCUAGGACUCGGUGCGAACCGGUCAGUUCGCAUCAAGUCCGGGCGCGCGCCGCGUUGUGGCCGCGC
rnacentral:lncRNA from 1 species